rnacentral:ncRNA from 2 species
GUGCAGAGUCUGGUGAGCAUUUCUAUUUAUUUGAUUAAAUCAUUGACACUGAUAUACUCAAAGUCUGACACUUUUUAUCCUUUUGUGCUACUCAGAGAGAAGUUAUAAAAAGUCAAAAAAGCAUAAGAAGAAAAGUAAGAAGAGGAGACAUAAAUCUGACUCUCCAGAAUCCGAUGCUGAGCGAGAGAAGGAUAAAAAAGAAAAAGAUCGGGAAAGUGAAAAAGACAGAACUAGACAAAGAUCAGAAUCAAAACACAAAUCGCCUAAGAAAAAGACUGGAAAGGAUUCUGUAA